GGGCCGGGAGCGGGGCCGGGCCCGUUACCUGCCGGGCUACCCGCAGGGCUACCCGCCGGUACGGGGCGCGGGGAGAGCCGCAGCGUGCUUAAAGAGCUCCCGUUUCAAAGCGCGGGGGGGGGGGGGGGGGGGUGAAACCGUGUUGAGCCCGGGAAGAGGUGCGAGUAAACCCGUGACAGGAGGGGGGGAAACCUGAGGGGUACGGAGCCGGCACCGCCCGGCAAAAGGCACCGGCUGCACCAAACCGCCCCUGCUGAGCGCUGCAGCCCGGGACACGCUCACGCUCCGCCUCUCCGUCUGAAUCCGAAUGUGUUCGUCCUGAGGUGCGCGGGUAACGCCACCCGUGGUGGUUGUGCCCAGCCCAAGCGGCCCCGGUGCUCGCUGACCGCGCACGGCUCAGCCGCAAGCCCCAGCCCGGUGUCGGUGAGUAACGGCCGCCACCUGCACCUCGGCCCCGGGUACCUGGGGAGUGCUGCUGCCGGACUCCUGACAUCACCUGGAGCAGAACCACGUACGUCAAAUAGCCUCGCCCUUCAGAGUGAAAAACCACACGAGCAGCAGCACGCAGCUGACCGCUUCGCUUCUAAGGUGGCAGAUGCUUCCCUUCCUGAGUCACUGGAGCAAAGUGCUCUGCAGGAUUUAAGUAAGUGCUAUCAUUAUGUUUAACUGUUUUAACAAUGCUUUCCUGGUCUUUAUGAGUUCUUAAAGCAGCACAACUGCUUUUUGUAACAAAUCAGCACUAGCCAAACAGCAAGAAAAAACACAGUACAAUAUUAAAUAAUCCCCACUUGUGCUAGAACAGGUCAAUCCCUUCUGUUAUUAAAAGAUACUACGAGAACUUUUUGAUUUAGAAAUAUUUUAUCUUUCUUAAUAGGUAAAAAUACAUUUUAAAUUACAAGGUUGCAUUUAAACCCCAUGGCAUCAUUAAAUUGCAAGUCAGUAAUUUCUGCCAUUGUUCAGCCAAAAAAAAAAAAAAAAGAAAAAAGAAGUGGCAUCCGGCCCACAUUUACUAACCAAAUACAUGUAACUUAAAUUCUACAGUAAAUGCAAAAGUCUUCAUAUUUAGAGGGGAGAAUCACAACUACAACACUGCAGCAAAACCAAACAAGAAAUAAACAAUAUAUCUAAAGCUCCAUAUCCAUUUCCGUAUUUAACACUGGUAUGGAUACAAAAGAUACCAUGAAGAAAAUACAUCAUACACAUAAAAUCAAUUGACAAUAUAGCAUUUAAAAGACAUUCUCCAGUAUAUAAGUAUAUAGAUAUAUAUCCCAUAUCACAUUUAAACACCUAUUCAUAUGCUCUUGUGGUCUGUUGCAUAAUGAUACAUGCUGUUAGAUCCUUUAAUUAUCCCAAGCCAGCAACAGUUACAUUUCAGAAGGAAAUGAAAUUUCAACUGUUGUGCAAUUGUUACUGCAAAGGCUCAAUGUUGUCUGUAACAGAAACAUUUGUACAGUUAUUUUUGUAGAAAGUUAGGUGGAGAUAGGGAAAUACAAAGCUAACUUUUUUUCCAUAUUGAAUUUCAUUAAAAAUUCUGGUUUAUGUUCUCUCAACCCCCCCCUCCAUUGCCCCUUCCCCAGUCCCUCAGAAAAUUGUGAAUGUCUGGAUAAGUGUAAAAUCACCAUGAUUGGGACAAAAAGCAUCUGCAGCCAAAUUACAAACUUGAAUAUAAUUUUAAUCAAAUAUGUGUGUAAUUCAAAAGUCUGAGAAACUCUUGGUGCAAUACCUCAAAUAUCCACUGUUUUUGUCCGUUCAUUUGAAGGAUAUUUACUCCUCUAUUAUGUGCAUGAUUAUUACUUAUUGAAAAAUGUUACAAAACACUUUUCUGUUCUUUUUUAUGCAACAGUUUAAACAGAACAAGGACAGAGACCUAUUUUUAGCUAACAAUUUGUAAAAUAUUUGAGCCUUUCAUUUUCUUGUAUGAAAGCAGUACUGUAAUUAGUUAUUUUCAGAUAUUCACCUAGAAAUCUGAUAUUUAUUAUUAAUAUAUUUUGUUACUUACUUUGAAGUAUCUCUUACAUCAGACACAUAACCAGAGUGUGAAUUUCUCUUCACAGCUUUUGAAAAGGAAAACUUUUUACAAGGAAGCUAAAUAUAUGAACUAGCUGUGCUAAAACCCCUUUCAUUCUGCUUUUCUGACUCAUUUGUAACAAAAUAUUUUUUUCACUUUCUAUUCCUUUAAGAUUCAUUUCUUCACAACAAUAAAGCAUUUACUUCUAUUUUCAUCUUGAAUACAAUACAUUAAGUCCAGCAUAAGCUUUGACCUUGCAUGAAUUAGAUUAUUCUGAGAGAAAAUGUUUAGGCCUAUAGUCACGUUGCAACUAGCUGUCAACAGAAGUCACGAAGCUUUUUAUGUACUAGCUGGUACCUACUAUUAUAGCCAGUAUUCCCUAGGAAUACCUCAGAUUCCUCCUAAAUUAUGUUAAAGGCAAUAAUUGCUUCAUUUAAAUAAGUAAGGGUAGAAAGCCAAGGGAAAAUAAAGUAUCUAUUCUGCUUUUCAAGUUUUUUUUUCCUCUCACCUACUUUUUGGCUGAUAGAAUCAACAAAGCACUUAACAGUUAUUAAAAAAAAUACUGUUAUUUCUAUGAAGGAAAGAUUAAGGUGUUUUAAGACAAUAAUCAAGGUUUGACAUCGGGAGCUUUGGGACAAGAAAACUGACAUGCUGUUUUGGAGCAUGGUGCAUAGCUGCACCCACACCAGCACUCCACUAGCAGUGUGUGCUGCCUGGCAGAGGCAGUGUGGUUUAUCAGGUGAAACAAUUUACUCCAACAGAUACAGCUGGAUGCCUGAACCUCCAUACUGCUACAGACUGGUUUUAUUAUCCAAGCUAGUGCAGCGUUUUAGCAGCACUUUUGACAGCAUGAAGCAUGCAGUCUCAGGACAGAUACAGAUCGCUCUUCUUUUACAAGAAUGAGCGAACUUCGGGGAAGGGGGAAGAACUGUAAACAAAUAGAUUGCUGUGAACAGCUGAGCUGGAAUCUCACACAAUGCCUUGUGGUUAUUUUGUCCUCGUGAAAGACAGUAUAAAGACAUGCUCUGACAGCUUUAGUCUGGCCCGUCCUUCUUGACAAUAUUACAGGAAAGCUGUUCUUGCUGAAAGCUCAUGGAAUGAGUACAGAAGUACAUUUAACAGUCAAAGAAAUACAGCUUGAUGGAAGGCACCUUCAAGCAAGCUACUGAGAGCCUAAGGAAAACCAAGUUUUCUGAAAGCAUAAGUCAAAAUAACUGAAAGAAUAGGCUCUGGCCUCAUCACUUUAAUUUUUAGAAUGAAAUGUCUGGCUUGCUGAAAGGAUGACUCCUAUAUUAGCACACGUUUAUAUGAAGAGACAAAGAAAUAGGACUUUGCUUUAGUACAUGCUGCCACCAUUGCAGGAAUGCUGGUAACAUCAUGGUCCAUUCACGACCCAUGAAAACAACAACAUGUGUUGGUCUUGAAGGUUGUUUGUUGUUGUUGUUUAAACCAAGAAUAACUUUUUUUUCCAUUAUAGAAGACUCAGAAUAUUAUUUAGAAACAGAUCACCACAGGUCAGUAGGAUCAAAAUAAGGACAGUAGGUGAGAAUUCUGUGGUUCCAAAAGGUCCUGAAACACAUGUCCCUUUACACAUUUCAUGUUCAAAAAGGAGUAAGUAAUCCCUUUUCCUUUGAAUAUGAAUAAACUUCUACCGUUAUCAAUUGCAAGGGAGAAGUGUCUGUUUACUUUCAGAAGAGGAUCUCUGGUGAUGUGCAGGAGUUAAUUGUCUGAAACUGAAUUAGAUGCUCACGGGUCCUAGGAAGAUCGAGGUGACAGCAGAUGUUUCCAGUCUGAGCUUUCUAAAUGAAGAACUGGUCCAACUGUGUAAGAAUACACUGAAGGGUGGCUUAAAGAAGUUCAGCCAUCUCGUGGAAACUGUUACCACAUUGCUUGCAUCGGUUUUCAUUAAAAUUAGCAGAUAAAUCUGGUUAGAUAAAUUCAGGAACAUAACCGUCUCCUGAAGAUUGAGGAUUGGAGGUGUCAGAAGCAGCAAUAAGGUCUCCACCUGAAUAAAGAUGAGGGCACUGCCAAUAACAUUUGCCUGUACUCAGAAGCACAAAUGCAUUUUCUUGCCGGCACUACACUUGAAAUUUUCAUUUCCCUGAAAGGGUAAGUGCUCUAUACAAACACUCACAUGCCUUAUGGAAUCUGCCAAAUACAUCAGGACUAAAUAACAUCACUAACAGUGCCAUGGCCACAGCCGUGUCUACAAAGUCUAAGAUAAUAAACUGUGAGUGAACUGAAGGACAGUUAUGCCACUAAUAGUUGUUGAUCUGAAGCCACUUAGGCACUUAUUCACAUGCAAUGUCUGUCCAACAACAAAGAGUCACGCAUUGCAAGAAGUGCAAGAUAGUGAAUGUAAGAUUCACUGAUAAACUUCUACUCAAAAGAGCCCAUUUCCUUGGCUGCCUCUCAAAAAGGUUUUGGCUUGGUGCAGUAAAUCUUGUCCAGGUCCAUCUACAGUCUGUACUGGUAAGAAACAUCUGUUCACUCACUUCACAUACCUCAGCAAUCUGUCCCCUAAAGAAAUCUUGCUUAGGACUACAGAACUACGACGAUCUAAUACAAUAAGCCCCUUAGUACUGCAUUGCAUUGAGCCCCAUUCUAACACAAGGUUAUCUAGCACACGUACGUCGGCUGUCUACUUGACUAGAUGCAACGGUAGCAUGUCAAAUUACUGUUACAUGAACACCACUACCGAUUUAAUUUUGAUCCUUUCAUGUUGACAU